rnacentral:rRNA from 1 species
GUAGGGAAUAUUGCACAAUGGGCGAAAGCCUGAUGCAGCAACGCCGCGUGCGCGAUGAAGGCCUUCGGGUCGUAAAGCGCUUUUCGGGGAGAAGAGGAAGGACGGUAUCCCCGGAAUAAGGCUCGGCUAACUACGUGCCAGCAGCCGCGGUAAAACGUAGGAGCCAAGCGUUAUCCGAAUUCACUGGGCGUAAAGCGCAUGUAGGCGGCUUGAUAAGUUGGAUGUGAAAUCUCCUGGCUCAACUGGGAGGGGACGUUCAAUACUGUCGAGCUUGAGGGCAGCAGAGGGAGGUGGAAUUCCCGGUGUAGUGGUGAAAUGCGUAGAUAUCGGGAGGAACACCAGUGGCGAAAGCGGCCUCCUGGGCUGCACCUGACGCUCAGAUGCGAAAGCUAGGGGAGCGAACGGGAUUAGAAACCCGGGUAGUCC